AUAUUCCCCUGCACGACUUUCAUUUGUUUUCACUUUCGUUUCCAUCAUGGAAAUGCUCUAGGCGGAGGGAGAUUCUCCGUUCUGUGCUGGAUUUAAAGUGUUUGACUUUGAGUGCGAUGCUUUGUCUCGAGUCGAAUGUGAAGCUGUUGCGUUCGGUGGAGAAGCAGGCGCCUCUAUAUGAUCGGGAUCACGGAAGCUACGGGAAGAGGUUGGCCAGCGAGAAUUGUGCGGAAACAGAAGAGUCGGAUCAGUGUUUCACAGCGCUCGCAUUCAAUAUAUUACUUUUCUUGGGUUCAUUAUGGCAAGCUCUUUUAUAAUAUCAUCAGUAUUCAGUUUCUCUGUAAUUUUAUGCUCUGCUAGCAAUGCGCGCCACAAAAUAGCCAAACGCUUUAUUCAGUUUUAGUAUUUUUUCGUAUUAAUUGAUAUUUUUACAAUAUACGGCUACACUGGGAAAACUGACCUAAAAUUGUUUGUGUUGACUAAUUUUUAAUUGUAGUUUAAGUUAGUUGUAUAGUUUCAAAUCUAAAUCGGCGCCCCCAAAUUGUGGUGCCCGUUGCAGUCUUCGCACCUCUUGGCGCUGCUCUGGCUGUAUGACAUUAGACUUGGCUAAUAGACUAGCUAUAAAACAGAGACGGCCUUAUCGUGGAGAAGUGUAUUGCGCAACGAGUACGCUCGCUGGAUGAACGUCGACGCCUAACGGAACAAAGCGCUUACCCUCCCGAUAAGAGAAAGAUCCGAGUAUCACCGGCGAGAGCACGAUUCUUAAGACUAUGAAGCCUUUAAUAGGGGACGUCGAGCCGCAGCUAAUGGCAGCUAAUGAAAAGAAGCCAUCGGAGAAAACUGAGAACAAGCCAUCGAACAUUUCCAAAAUAAAAAAGAAAUCCGAGGAGAAUGAGAAUGGCAAACGGAGCGAGGAACCAAAGGACUUCAGCUGGGACGAAGAGGAGUCGGAGCCCAGUUCGGAGAAGGAGGAGGAGUCGGAGUCCAGUUCGGAGGACGAGGAGGAGUCGGAGUCCAGUUCGGAGGACGAGGAGGAGUCGGAGUCCAGUUCGGAGGAGUCGGAACCCAGUUCGGUGAACGAGGAAGCCCCACCACAAGCCACUGUUGGCGCGACCGGAAAGCUGAUGACCGGCGAGGUCAAUCGUUUGACCAUUCGCAAGAAGAACUUGUACGCCUCUGAUUCGAGGGACCCCCUCGAGGCAAUGGAAUGCAGCACCGACGAGUUGAGCGGCUCUGGCAGCGGCAGCCUCAUCGGCCGUUGUCCAUAUCGCACCGUUCGUGCCAAAGGAGUAGCUCCGACUACGGCUACGUCACAGUCCAAGCCAGGCAUUACCAUUUCGGGUCGCGGUAGCGUCGUGGGCAGAACUGGCAAGAUCCCAGUCUCAAGUCCAAAGCCAAGCAGUCAAGGCUUAGUUUCAAUCUUAAAACCAUUCGCCAAGGCAACUCCUGCCUCUACAUCCAGCUCUAUGACGGCGUCCAACCUGGUUGUGCCCUCCACGCCUACAGUCUCAAGCAGCAGCCAGGUGACUGCCAGUCCAUUGGCGAGCACGGUCGGAGCUGAAGUGGGAACCACCACAACUAGCUCUGUCGUGACCGUAAACUCCAGAGGCGAGACAGAAAUGCAGACAGAUUGCCUGGACAUAUUCACUGAUCAGCACUUUUUAGAGAUUGUACGCCCACAGAUGGCGGAAAUGAAUCCCCGCCAGAAGUUAAACUUCAUGAAAAAGGUAUUCCAUUCCAUAAUGGAAACCUUUGAUGACGCCACUGACUUCCCAAAGGCUGAGGAGCUGCAGCACUUCAACAUUAAUACACCUUCUGGCUUUGAGCACGUCUCGGGUGGUGAGAUGCUCCUGGUGCGAGAGCUAGUGAGUCUGGUUUGUUCCGCCAAGCGCUCGGACGCAAUCUCAAAGCCCACUCCUCUGCCUGUCGUCACGGACACUCUGCGCCCAGUGGCUCGAGCCAAAACCCCAGCUCCUGUGCCAGUUGCACAACCGUGCUACCCCAUUCAGCGCGCCACCACACAGUGCAAAGGAGUAAACCUGGUCGCGUCUCCGAAGGAGAAGGAGAUCGGGCGCAACGCCAAGCCGAGCGGCGCGGUCACGAUUGUCAGUCUCGGUGUUAAUAGCCCCACGGAGGAGCUGGGCAAGAAGAGCGCCAGCAACUGUUCGGGGGCCAGCGUCAGUCGUGUUUCCCCGGCUCCUAUGGGUAGAUCCAGGAAAGGCUCAGCCGUAGUCAUACCCGCCACACGCACAGGGGUCGCCUCCCCGAUGAACACCCCAUUCGGCUCGACCCCAGCACAGGUGUUGCUCACUAAGUCCGGACCGCUCAAGGUAAGCACAAAGUCCGUCUGCGAGCCCAUGUUGACUUUAGGCCCGAAACCCGGCAACACAAACAUGACGAAUCUCAUGGAUGACGUCAAGCGUCGCCUGAGCCCCGACCCCGGCAUGGUCCCGGACUACCAGCGGCCCCGCAACUCCAGGACCGUCGCACCUGUCCCCGGAUCUAUAGCUGGCCAAGCAGCAGCUGCCGCUGCCCCACACGACAGGAAGAUGAGGAAGUCGACAGGUAGCGUAUCCGCCAGCCAGGAGCAGCCCCCGCCGCCCGGCUUGGCUCUCAAAGGCCUCGUGCAGCCCAAGCCGGCCACCGGUUCCCCCCUUUCAGGUGGGCCCGGCCUUUCCCUGAAACGGAGCCUUCCGUUGGCCAACGCCCAAAAAAGCAUGGCUGAUGUGGUAGCCGAUCCGCAAGAGCAGGAAAUGCGUCGAACCCAAGGUUCAGAAGAGUAUAUGGAGACCGCUGGUACCAUCGCAGCCGAUGACUUCUCGGGCUUGCUGAAGGAAGAUUUAGACGAAAUUUUGGCCAUGUAAGGGAAUCCGAGAGUCCGCAUAAACCUUGACGCAUGCUUGAGAUAAUACAUUUUGAAUACUAUACAUUUAUAAUCCCAAAAGAAUACUGAAAGUUUGCAUGACAAAAUUUUUAAUUUUCUAUUCGUAUAACGGAUUCCAAUACUUGACAUUCGGAUAACCAUUAAAUAAAUCACACGAAUGAGCUAUGAAAUUAUAUACAUAGAUACAUGGCUGUCUAUUUUGACACUCGAGUAUGUACAAUACAGUAUAAAUGACGUGUGUAUUAACUAUCAACUGACAAUUUUUGGUUAAAUCAAAUUCUAAUUUCUUUUCAAUCCUUGAUUUUUUGCAUUCAUUUAAAUAAAAGUUGUGAACAUUGUAAACAUUGCAAUUGCACCAAAAAGAAGCGUUUUCGUGUGAAGGCAGUGGGACCUAGUAAGUGGAGAAGUGUAUUGCGCAACGAGUACGCUCGCUGGAUGAACGUCGACGCCUAACGGAACAAAGCGCUUACCCUCCCGAUAAGAGAAAGAUCCGAGUAUCACCGGCGAGAGCACGAUUCUUAAGACUA